CACAAUCUUCAUCAUCACACAAGACACAACAACAACAAUGAACAACAUCAUCAUCCUCAUCUGGACUCUCACACUGUUUGCUCAAGAGAGUAGAGGACAGUACACUGUAACUCAGAGUCCAUCAAUAACAGCAGCUCAACCAGGACAAGAAGUCAGAAUAAACUGUAAAACCAGCAGUAAUGUGCAUGGUGGUUAUUAUUUAGCCUGGUAUUUACAGAAACCUGGAGAAGCUCCUAAACUCCUCAUAUAUUAUGCAACAAGCCGUUUCACUGGAACUCCAUCUAGAUUCAGUGGCAGUGGAUCUAACAGUGAUUUCACUCUGACCAUCAGUGGAGUCCAGACUGAAGAUACAGGACAUUAUUACUGUCAGAGUGCUCACUGUCCUAGUAGUUGUGUGUUCACACAGUGAUAAAGAGUCGUACAAAAACCUCCGUCAGUCAGAGUCACAGUGACUGCACUGAUACAGCUGAGAGAUACUGCAGCUGCUGAUGGAUGACAACACAAAUAUUAUAGCAAAAAUUAGAGAGAUUUAAUAGAA